AAUUUAUUCUAUUCAAUAAAAUUUAUUUAUUUGUUCAUCCCUGGGAUUUUCUUUCUAUUGUAUGUAAUUGUCAUGUUUCAUUGGCUUUUGUGCAUAUGCUCAUAGAAGAGUGGAUGUCCUUUAUGGGAGAUUAUUUAUAGUAAUUACUUUUGGCCAUAGUCCUUUGGUUUGUAUACAGUUUUGGUCAUAUUAAAUUGCGUUGUUUUUGUUUACAUUAGGUCAGCAUUCAUUUGUUUGUAUAACUUGGUAAAACGUUUUGUAUGUUGAUUGAUGUGACUUGUUUUGAUAUUUUAUUUACAAAUGUUUAUUUUGCAUUAUUUUACUGCCUCAUGACAUACUUUUACAUGGCUUUAAUUAUAUUAUACGUGUAUGUUAUAUUCAAAUCCUGUUGCGGUUUGUGAUUUUGACUACUUCUCUCCAUUGGCGUUUGUUUAGUAGCCAUGGAGAUCAGAACCAUUUAAGCUGUACAUCAAGGGUCUUCUUCCUUUGCCCUCAAGUAAUCCAUUGAACGACACAUGUUGGUCUUUACUUCCUGUAGUCCUUCACUGUUGCUAUUUAUUCAGAACACAAGCAGUCCGUGCUACUUAUGUAAAUACUCGCUGGGUGACCAAUAAACAUACUCCUUGACUGCACCAGCACUUAAUAUCCCCAUCAACUGAAAGCCAUCCAAACUGCAACACCUGGUGGCCGAAUUAGAAUCACUGGAACUGUCUAUUCUAGGACCAAGUGAGUCUGCUUCUAUCAAAGCUAGCAUUCUCUACCUAGCGUGUUCCUGUUGAUACAUAACUUGGACUUUGUCCUAGGAGGGAGUUUAUUGUGCAACCUGUCACCCAGUGAACCCAUUUCACUCCCUUUGAGGUAUUAAGAUGAUGCCAUAGUUUUGAUAUUUGCAUUUUUUACUGGACCAUCAGUUUUUGUUUUUUGUAAAUUAGCAUUAGUCAAUUUUUUUUUUUUUUUAAAUCAAUCAAUUUUAUUGGCUUUUAACAAAAAAAUAGAAUUUAUUUUCCAUACACUGUAUAGUGAAUACAUCAUGUGUUAUUACAACAUUUAAAGAUUUAAUUUACUUUAAUUGCUGCGGUUCUUACAAAAAAAAAAAAAAAUUUGGCAUAGGGUGUGUAAGAUUUCUGUACCACUAAAGGGUAGCUGCAUCAGCAGAGGAUUGUUUUGAGCGGCUGUUUGGUGGAUAUAGCACAAGACUAUUUAGGCUUUUUGUUUUAUUACCAAUAGCAUAGUUACAAUUAUAUCUAGUUAUGCAAAAAUGUACGUAUAAAAACAGAGUAAUGCUUUCUCCCUCAAGAUAUUGAUAUCUCGCUCCGGAUAUCAAGAGUUAACACUAUAUUUUGUGAACAAGCUUUUUAAGAGAAUUUGGUUGUCCUUU